rnacentral:rRNA from 1 species
UGGGGGAUAUUGCACAAUGGGCGAAAGCCUGAUGCAGCGACGCCGCGUGGGGGAUGAAGGCUUUCGGGUUGUAAACCUCUUUCGCUAUCGAACAAGGCCCGCUUAGGGUGGGUUGAGGGUAGGUGGAGAAGAAGCGCCGGCUAACUACGUGCCAGCAGCCGCGGUAAUACGUAGGGCGCGAGCGUUGUCCGGAAUUAUUGGGCGUAAAGGGCUUGUAGGCGGCUUGUUGCGCCUGCUGUGAAAACGCGGGGCUUAACUUCGCGCGUGCAGUGGGUAAGGGCAGGCUUGAGUGUGGUAGGGGUGACUGGAAUUCCAGGUGUAGCGGUGGAAUGAGCAGAUAUCUGGAGGAACACCGAUGGCGAAGGCAGGUCACUGGGCCAUUACUGACGCUGAGGAGCGAAAGCAUGGGUAGCGAACAGG